GAGCGAACGCUGGCGGCAGGCUUAACACAUGCAAGUCGAGCGGGCGUAGCAAUACGUCAGCGGCAGACGGGUGAGUAACGCGUGGGAACGUACCUUUUGGUUCGGAACAACACAGGGAAACUUGUGCUAAUACCGGAUAAGCCCUUACGGGGAAAGAUUUAUCGCCGAAAGAUCGGCCCGCGUCUGAUUAGCUAGUUGGUGAGGUAACGGCUCACCAAGGCGACGAUCAGUAGCUGGUCUGAGAGGAUGAUCAGCCACAUUGGGACUGAGACACGGCCCAAACUCCUACGGGAGGCAGCAGUGGGGAAUAUUGGACAAUGGGCGCAAGCCUGAUCCAGCCAUGCCGCGUGAGUGAUGAAGGCCCUAGGGUUGUAAAGCUCUUUUGUGCGGGAAGAUAAUGACGGUACC
rnacentral:rRNA from 1 species